CUGCAUUUUGGGGAGUGAAUGAGCAGAAUCAGGUUGCUGGUGCAACAUCGUCUAGCUUUUCCUAGCUAGAGAUGAAAGAGUCCCAAGUAACUGAGAUUUGAUUAUGGUCAUUCACGAUGGGGUAUUAGUGGCAUUGGACCUCUCCCCUCUCCAUGCUUAUGAUUGUGGGCUUCUUUGGCUAACAAAAGGCAUACUCCCACCCCAGGACCUUUGUACCUGCGAUUUCCUCUGCCAGCGACACUUCCCGGACCUCACGUGGCUUCAUCCUCAUCUCCUGAAGGCCUCUGCUCAAGUGUCACCAUCCCAGUGAGGCCUGCCCUCACUGUCCUGUUUAA